UUCUUUUCUUUUCUUUUCUUUUCUUUUUUCAGAUGAAUUUGAGCCUCUGUUUGGUUUCCAAGAAAGAAAAUGAUUGUUUUAGAGUUACUAAGAAUUUGAUAGGAAAGAGAAAUGUGGACGAUCUAUAGUUUCGGAUUCUGGUUCAGUUUUAUUCUUUGCUGUGUUUUUUUUCUUUUCAUGAAUCGACUCUUGUUUUGGUUGCCGAGAAAGGGAAGGAACUGAGAGCAGUACAAAAUUGUUGAAGAUUUAGGAUGGAUUUGAAAGGAAAGAGAAAUCUGGAAGUUCUUAGUCCCGGAUUCAGGUUUUGAUUUUUGUAUCACAAAGGGGUAUGCCUUUCUCGGUUAUUAGAAAAUCCUUUCCAGUUGAAUUUGAAGAGCGAGUCAGGUUUCUUUGAAAGUGAAGCAUUGGGUUUUUUUGGAAACUUUAUUUGUUUAAAAGAUAGUAUACCUUUAAACUAGGCUUGAAGUAGUAGUCUGUAAGAAUCUUUAAGUAAAUAAUUUAGUGGAAUUAUGUCACAAAAGGUGGCCUUCUUUGUAAAUUAGAGAAUUUUUGUAGUUGAAUUCUGAGUCCACUUUCUUUAAAAAAAAUGAAAGUAAAUUUGAAUCAGUGUUUGGUUCUUGUUUGGAACCUGAUUCAUUUCCAAAAGAUAAUAGGUAGACCAAAAAAACUUGUAUGUUUUGAGAUCCAAGCCAAAUUAAGUGUCAUGCAAAUUUUAAUCUUGCCUAGGAGACAUUAUCACGACUCAAACUGUUCUUGGAGAAAUCUCUGCUAAAAACUCCCUGGUCAGGUUGGAGUUCAAAACAUUGGAUCUGUCAUGAAUUGGACAUUAAUUAAAUUCAAAAUGAAAAUAUUACCUGCUGCAUGAAGUAAAUUUUAAUAUCAAAAUCAUAUAUCUUCAAACAUACAAUUUCUAUUAUUACUUCUAAAAAAUGGCAAAGUAGAGUCUUUGCAUCUCAGGUUUGUUGCUCUAAUCACAACAAUUGAUCUGCAACAUGUAAGACAAUGCAAUCAACUGGAAGCUCAGAAAGGUUUAAACUUGUAUCAUGCAAGAAUUUCAUCCUGCUCAAAAUAAGAAUUUUUUAUAUAUCUUUGUCUCACUGUUUUCCUGCAUCACUAUCUUAUAUUUCACACGGUAAUGAGCACACCCGUGAUGGACCCAAACUGUUCAGCAUUUCCUGCUCUGCUUAUGGAUUGCAACCGUAGGUGGAGCUCUUAAUCAUCCUACCUAUCUUUACUUUCUUGCUCCAAGUCAUAAAGUGCUGUGAGGCUAGAACUUCCUUUACUUAGUGACAGAGCACCUAUUCCUGGAGAAGUAAAACCCUCCAUAGAGCAGGAGCAGAAGGGCAACAUGGAAAGGGAUGAUGGUCUAUUUCUGGAUGUGAUAUGCACAUAAUAGAAUAAUUUAGAAAUAAUCCACUUGCUAAGAUUCUGCCCAUUAUCACUAACCAUACACAGUAAUGGAACUUUUGACUAUUGUUUCCAUUUUCUGGUCCUGUUAGUAGAAUGCAUAAAUAUUUAUGUGUUACUUAUUCACUGGAUGAUUUUUUGUAGUAUGAAUAUUAAAAUUGAAACUAUAUUACCGUAUUCCUAAUUUGGUUUACGCCCCAGCAGUUCUUAUGAUGACAAAGAAAGGAAAUGGCAGUGCCCAGAUAUUGAGAUGCAGAAGCAUGUGGUCCACUCUAUUAGUGAAUUUCUUGGAUUUAUUUCAGCAGACACUUGUCAGCAUCCACUUGUAAAGGAUUCAGUUGCUGUUAUGAUUAAGGCAUUGGAAGGAAUUCUUCAAUCCAACAGUGAAGUUGUAUUAAUCAUUGCAGCAAAGGUGGCAUUGAAGUUAGUCCGGGACUUUCCCAGUUCAGUGGUGCAACCUCAUGUGCUACAUCUUAUUCAGCCUUUUUCAUCUUUAUUAUCGUCUCAUCAAUUAAAAGUUGCUUCCCAUUGUGCAAAUGAGGGAUUGAAUCAAUUCAAUAUUUCCAACGGAUGGCUUCUCUUUUAAGGAGGAUAUUGUGGUGCCGGCAACCCUCUUGGUAUCAUGUAUGGAAUGAUGCUGAGUUGUUGAGGGUUCUGGAGGUCAUACGUGUAAAUUCUGAUUCUUCUGUUAAAGUUGCAGUUUUGCAAUUGUACUCUGCUUUAGCUUUAUGUGGUAAUGGGGCUGAGAGGCUCCUAGAAAAUGGCGAAAACUUCAUAAAAAUGGUGGUGCAGUGCAUGGACAGCACACAACCUCCUUCUGUUCGGAUAGAGGCAUUUAAACUUUCUCAGUUGUUGACGAUGAGUGAACAAAGAUGUUCGAAAAUGGUGAGAUUUUGCUGUGAGCCCAUCAUCCAAGCCAUAAUUGGUGGUUUGAGGGAAUACAGCUUGUUUGUUAAAGAGAUUACUCAAGACCAGAUUUCUGUGGCGGUGGAGGCAGGUCGUUUGGCUCUGAUUACUCGUUGGGCAGGGGAGCAUCAAAUUUAUUUUUGGAAGCUAGGAAUUGGCAAAGUCCUAAUUGAGCUUCGUUUAAGUGAAUUUCUUAAAGCCCAACGACUCCAAGAUAUCUUGUUGUCGGAAGAACAGAAAUCCAUAGCACUGAAGGAUCCCACAUUCACCUGGGAUAUUCUUGGGGGGCUUGUAACACACUCUGGGGAAGAUUUCAAUCCUAAGAAGAGUGGCAAUGACAUUUGCUUCCUCAUUGAUUAUGCAUGCUUGACCUUUGUGGACUCAGUUCGUAGAAGGGGUCAGACUUCUCAAUAUGAUGCCAACAAUAUCAAUGAAAAUUCAGUAGCUAGAGCAGUUCUGAUGAUGAUUUAUUCUCCCUGCAAAUACAUUAAAUCACGGGCCCGAUCCAAACUGUCUGAUGCUCUAAAGCCAGAGGGGAAGCAUUAUCUAAAAUCCUUGAUGGAUUACCUACACUAUGUAUCAUCGAGGGAUGAGUUUGGAAACCUAGAUGAACGCACUUCUUUUAGCAUAGUGGGAUUGACAUGUUAUUCAGGUUUGCGGCGGUAUCGAAAGUAUAUUAUACAGAGUGAAGGCAUAAAAAUGCUGUUGGCAUUUAUAAAGCAGUGCUUAAAAAGUGAUUUCCAAUUGGGAAGGCUAAUUGUUGCCCCUGAUUUGCAAAAUAUGUUCAGCAGCAGGACAUGUUGCCAGACAUGUACAGAAUUGGGAUGGCGGAGACAUUCUUCUGUUUUUUGGCCUGUGGGGACUAGCUGAAUUGAUCCACCAUUCUGGUUCCGUCAGAAAUUGCCCUGACUUAUUUCAUGGUCAGAUGGAAUAUAAUGAAGCUCAAUUAAUUCAUAAACUCCAAGAGAUCUGCAGUGAUACUUCUACUCCUGGGCUAAGAUGGGAUGUUGCCUUGCAAGCUGAAGCAACCAAAGCGAUGCAGUGGACAUGCAAAUUUUGUUCUGUUUUAGUGCCUCAUGUGCAUGUCCACAAAGUCAUAUUGUGCUCAAGUAGUGGUUAUUUCCGAGCCAUGUUCCGGUCAGGGAUGCAGGAGUGCCAUUCCCGCUUCAUAAAGGUCCCUGUUAGUUGGGAAGCAUUAGUCAAACUAGUGGACUGGUUAUAUUCUGAUAAACUGCCAACACUCGUCACUGGCUGUUUAUGGGAUAACAUGGAUGAAAGGAAAAAGCCACGGGAGCUGCAACUCUACUUGGAGCUUUGUUUGCUUGCUGACUAUUUGUUAUUGGAAGAUGAUAUUCAGGAACACUGCUCAACAGUGAUCAACUCUUGCCUGGAUUCUUCAAAAAACUUGUCUCUUGAAGAACUCCAGAUGGCUGCUAGGUUCCCCCUGUGGAAGUUGUCCUGGGACUGCAGUAAAUUGCUUAGCCCCUUCAUAUAGCCAUCUCCGCCUCACUGGUGAAUUUGAAAAGCUGGAUGAAGAGCUUGUUGACAUGGUUCAUGCUGCCUCUGUUUGACAUUCCCAGGGUUCAACCAAAUGCAAGUUAGAAGAGUAAAAGAAGACAACAGGUGAUUAAUAGUUACUAUAUGUGAAUAUACCAUACAUUUUAUAGGAUUGAACCCAGCUUUAGAACAUCAAAACUGUUUGCAACUUAGUUCCACCAUUGACUGUAUUUUCUAUAUCUUUCAAGAGGUGUUGAAUGAAAGCCAUUACCAAUAGACAAAAUGUUGAAGGAAACCUAUAAAAGAUUCUGUUUGGCUGUAUC